UCCUGGCUCAGGAUGAACGCUAGCGGCAGGCUUAACACAUGCAAGUCGAGGGGCAGCGCGGUGUAGCAAUACGGACUGGCGGCGACCGGCGCAAGGGUGCGUAACGCGUGAGCGACAUGCCCUAACCGGGGGAUAACCGAUGGAAACGUCGCUAACCCCCCAUAACACUGGAGGUUGCAUGAUUUUCAGUUGAAAACUUUGGUGUUACGGAUUGGCUCGCGUGACAUUAGGUAGACGGCGGGGUAACGGCCCACCGUGCCGACGAUGUCUAGGGGUUCUGAGAGGAAGGUCCCCCACAAUGGAACUGAGACACGGUCCAUACUCCUACGGGAGGCAGCAGUGAGGAAUAUUGGUCAAUGGGCGGAAGCCUGAACCAGCCAUGCCGCGUGCGGGAAGAACCGGCCCUAUGGGUUGUAAACCGCUUUUGAGAGGGAGCAAUAAGGUGGUCGUGCACCAUCGAUGAGAGUACCUUUCGAAUAAGCAUCGGCUAACUCCGUGCCAGCCGCUGC
rnacentral:rRNA from 1 species